UCACAUUUUUACAAAGGGAGUAUCAAAAAGCAGAUUGGAAAAAUCAUAAACCUUCUUGCACUGCUGCCAAGUAAUCUGGACGUCCCUAGGGGAGUGUCAAAAAGCAGAUUGGAAAAAUCAUAAACCUUCUUGCACUGCUGCCAAUGUGCCUACAUGAGAGAACCACAGUCUUCAUUAAAAGCAAGUUGAAGAGUUGGAAGUUGAUGCCUUGGAUUGGCAAAAGCUUGGAUUUUUAAAAUAUUUUAACAUCAAUAUUACAGUAGUUUCAGGCCUCAUUUGAACUUUUGUCCAUUCAAUUAUCUAAAAUGAUGCUGAAGGACAACAUUCAAUGAUCUGUGCUUCUUCUUUUAUUGUUGAUUGACCAUCAAACAUUUAAGUUUGAUUUUUUAACACAUAGCAUUGGACAGUAAGUCUGUCUUUCCACUUUGACAUGGCACCGCAAAAUAGAGAAAUAAUUACUUAUCAUGUACUCUAUGCAGUAAUAAUUACUAAGAAUCUUGUUUAAAAAAUAAAAAGUAAUUUUCAA